GACGAACGCUGGCGGCGUGCUUAACACAUGCAAGUCGAGCGGUAAGGCCCUUUCGGGGGUACGACGAGCGGCGAACGGGUGAGUAACACGUGGGUGACCUGCCCUCAGCUCUGGGAUAAGCCUGGGAAACCGGGUCUAAUACCGGAUAUGACUCCAUGACGCAUGUUGUGGGGUGGAAAGCCUUGUGCGGCUGAGGAUGGGCCCGCGGCCUAUCAGCUUGUUGGUGGGGUGAUGGCCUACCAAGGCGACGACGGGUAGCCGGCCUGAGAGGGCGACCGGCCGACACUGGGACUGAGACACGGCCCAGACUCCUACGGGAGGCAGCAGUGGGGAAUCUUGCGCAAUGGGCGAAAGCCUGACGCAGCGACGCCGCGUGAGGGAUGACGGCCUGUGU
rnacentral:rRNA from 1 species